rnacentral:lncRNA from 1 species
GGAGAAAGGAUAAAUGAACCAUGUCAUGCCCACACAAUGGAAUACUCGACAGCAAUGAAGACGAACAACAGUGUCACGCAUCAACGCAGAUGUACCUCCCAACAAUACUGUGAGAGAAAAAGGCAAGUCACCAAAGAACACGUAUGUAUGAGGCCAUUCAAAUAGCUCUUCUGGAUUUCACUCCUGGGGAUGUCAAGGACCCACUAGAGUUUCCAAGCCAUGUUCACAUGUCACCUCCUUGACUAAAGGGACAUGACCAAUAAAUGCAAUGUGGGGUCCUGAACUGGAUCCUAGAGCAGGACAGAAAUAGCUAUAAAGGACAUUCUUGGGACAAUUGACGUUUAGAUAUGGAUUGUGGGGUUCGAUCAUAGUAUCAUAUCAAUGCAAAUUGUCCUAGCUCUGAUAAGCAUAUGUGUUUAUGUAAGAGAAUGUCCUUGUUUUUAGGGAACAAACACUGAAAUAUACAAUAGUAGAGAGGCAUCAUGUCUCCACCAUACUCUCAGAUGGUUCAGGAGAAAUAUGCGUGUGUCUCCGUACAUAUUAAUAUAGAGAGAAUGGUACAGCCAGUGGGACAAGUUGUAAGCAAUUGGUGAAUCUAGGUAAAGGGUAUAUGGGAAAUUGCAUCAAAAUUAAAAGUUAUGAACAUGGGGGAGAAAACCCAGUUCUUCUAUAAAAACAGCCUCCAGCCUCUCCCUCCAGCACAACCUGUCCCCACACGUGGGGCACCCGGCACCCAUGCUCUGGCUCUUGUCUCUCUGGGUCUUAGUCCCACUUAGCACCCCACACCCAAAGGUCAUGUUUUCACAGAUGUGUACCCUCAAGACUAAACACACACUUGAGGCAUUCAUGUGACUAUACAUAUUUAUGGAAAAAGAAAAUUCUUGGGCUCACAAAACUGAACGCUCCAGGGUGGACUGUCUCAGGUGGCCUUAAUCGGGGUGCUGACAACAUCCAGACGAGCACGCAGGCUUCUCUCCCUGCCACGGCGGUGCCAUUCUCCAACGGACUCUGCCGCCGUGGCUGCAAGAUGGUGGCAGCAGCUCCAACCCCUGCACCCUUUUGUGGCCAAGUCCAGUGGGAAGAAUGUGAGGUCUUCUUCCAGAAGCUUCUGCAGAUUCUCAUUAGCUUCAGCUGGGUCAUGUGUCUGUCAUCCCUGACCUGGCCUCUGGGGUCAGGAAGGCACCAUGGUCAGACUGGCCAGGCCUGAGCCCCAAGCCCCAAGUCCAACCUCUUCACAAAGCACAGCUGGCUGGGGCAGAGCGGUGCCCCCAGUGGAAAAUCAAGAUGCAGUUUCAGAAGGAUGGAAAUGGAUGCUGGGUGGCGAAACGGCAGAAACCCACCCCGGCCCACGCCCUUGCCUGUCCAAAAUCCAUGCACAUGCUUCUUCCCAUGCUCCCUCUGGGGGAGGUGUGCUAGGCAGCACAGAUGUAUGCACAGCUCCCCACAGAUGCCACCCUCAUCCUUGGAAACUGUCAAUGCCCAUGAAUUUGUUACCUCACGUAGCAAAAGAGACUUUGCAGAUGUAAUUAAGGCUGCUCGUCAGUUGACCUUAAAAUAGGGAGAGUGUCUUGGAUCAUCCACAUGGGCUCAGUGGGUCACACAAGCCCUUAAAAGCAGAGAACUUUCCAUGGCUGGUGGCAGAGGUAGAAAGGACAUUGGAAAGAGACAGCAUGGGGGAAAGGGAGAUUUAAAGCUUGGGAAGGAAGGAUGGAAAGCGCGACUGCUGCUUUGAAAACAAAGGAAGCCUCAGGCCACGUAGCAAAGAAAUGGAGACCCCAGGCCUGCAAUCAUAAGCGACUGAAUUCUGCUCACAACCCUAAUGAGCACCUCCGGGAAAGAGCCCAGCCUGCCAACACCUCGAUUUUGCCUUGUAAGCCCCUAAGCAGAAAAUACAGUUGAGGCACUCUCUGCCCAGACUUGCAGUGCACAGAAACUGUGAUGCUAAAUGGAUGUUGCUUGAAGCUGCUCAGUUGGUGGCACUUUGUUACAGCAGCAAUGGAAAAUGAAUACUGGAGGUAACACUGUCUCUCCCAGUGACAGGUCCGGCUCCAGGAGCUGGACCCCAGUGACCGUGUUACAGUCUAGGCUUAAGGCCCCCCUCACUCCCAACCUCACCUGUGCAGAGAGGGAAGGAAAAGUGCCAUGUCAACCCCCAGUAAGGGAAAGGAGGAUGGGAGACCCCUAGCCUGCAGCACAUCCAAAGCCCUGCUAGAAAAAUACUGAGAAAUGUUAGACAUUGAGCUACCACAGGACCCAGGAUUACAACUCCUGGGUAUCUACCCAAGGCAAAUGAAAACAUGUGUCCCCAGAAAAAUUUGCACACAAUGUUCAUAGCAGCAUUAUUUAUAAUAAUUGAGAAAUGGGAAUAGCCCAAAUGCCCAUCAGCUAAUGAAUAGAUAAACAAAAUAUGGCAUAGCUAUACAAUGGAAUAUUAUAUGGCCCUAAAAAGUAAUGAAGAAGCCAGACAUAAAAGGCUUUGUGUGAUUCCAUUUCCAGACAGAAAGCAGAUUAGUAGUUGCUGCAGGCUGGCGGGAGGGAGGAAUGGAAAGUGGCUGCUAACAGGAACACGGUUUAUUCUGGGGGCAAUGAAAGUGUUCUAAACUUAGAUGUGAUGAUGGAUGUACAACUGCGUGAAUAUACUAAAAAGCAUUGAAUGGCAUUGAAUGGUUCAUCUUAAAUGGGUGAAUUUUAUAGUGCGUGAAUUAUAUAGAUAAAGAUGUAAAAGAUUUGUUUAACAUCAAUAAAGAUGUAA